rnacentral:rRNA from 1 species
UACGAAGGGGGCUAGCGUUGCUCGGAAUUACUGGGCGUAAAGCGCGCGUAGGCGGAUCGUUAAGUCGGGGGUGAAAUCCUGGAGCUCAACUCCAGAACUGCCUUUGAUACUGAGGGUCUUGAGUUCGGGAGAGGUGAGUGGAACUGCGAGUGUAGAGGUGAAAUUCGUAGAUAUUCGCAAGAACACCAGUGGCGAAGGCGGCUCACUGGCCCGAUACUGACGCUGAGGUGCGAAAGCGUGGGGAGCAAACAGG